CCGUUGAAAGGGUGGCUAAUACGGCGUGUUCUGGCUGUGCCGCAUGGUGUGGUUGGGAAAGAUUCACUUUUGUUUGGUGUUUUGGUGGGGGAUGGGCUCGCGGCCUAUCAGCUUGUUGGUGGGGUGAUGGCCUGCCAAGGCUUUGACGGGUAGCCGGCCUGAGAGGGUGGGCGGUCACACUGGGACUGAGACACGGCCCAGACUCCUGCGGGAGGCAGCAGUGGGGGAUAUUGCACAAUGGGCGGAAGCCUGAUGCAGCGACGUCGCGUGAGGGAUGGAGGC
rnacentral:rRNA from 1 species